rnacentral:lncRNA from 1 species
UGACGUCCCUCACGGGGGACCUGCAUUUCAUGCUGCAGGCACAGGUACCUCAGCUCAUACACCGCACAAGUAGGAGCCAGGUCAUACAGCUAUUGUUGGUGAGCUCCAGUUUGCUUCGGAGCUUUCCGAGUCGGUUCCUUAUGUUUUAUUAUUGUACAUGAGUCAUGUGUGGGCGGGGGUUUGUCUCGACCCUAGUUAUGUUAUGUAUAUCCUAGAGGCUUUG